GGUGAACGCUGGCGGCGUGCCUAAUACAUGCAAGUCGAGCGAAUGGAUUAAGAGCUUGCUCUUAUGAAGUUAGCGGCGGACGGGUGAGUAACACGUGGGUAACCUGCCCAUAAGACUGGGAUAACUCCGGGAAACCGGGGCUAAUACCGGAUAACAUUUUGAACCGCAUGGUUCGAAAUUGAAAGGCGGCUUCGGCUGUCACUUAUGGAUGGACUCGCGUCGCAUUAGCUAGUUGGUGAGGUAACGGCUCACCAAGGCAAAGAUGCGUAGCCGACCUGGGAGGGUGAUCGGCCACGCUGGGACUGAGACACGGCCCAGACUCCUACGGGAGGCAGCAGUAGGGAAUCUUCCGCAAUGGACGAAAGUCUGACGGAGCAACGCCGCGUGAGUGAGGAAGGCUUUCGGGUCGUAAAACUCUGUUGUUAGGGAAGAACAAGUGCUAGUUGAAUAAGCCGGCACCUUGACGGUACCUAACCAGAAAGCCACGGCUAACUACGUGCCAGCCGCCGCAGUAA
rnacentral:rRNA from 1 species